rnacentral:rRNA from 1 species
AGCGGCCUCGGCCAUCCUUGGGAAGAGCAGUCCUGGCAUUCAGUUGUCGGGGUUGGGAUUCCCGACGUUUACUGUGAAAAAAUCAGAGUGUUCAACGCAGGCUUACGCCUUGAAUACAUUAGCAUGGAAUAAUGAGAUAGGACCUUGGCGGUCUAUUUUGUUGGUUUGCACGCCGAGGUAAUGAUUAAAAGGGACGGUUGGGGUUCUUCGUAUUCAAUUGUCAGAGGUGAAAUUCUUGGAUUUAUGGAAGACGAACUGCUGCGAAAGCGUCGAACAAGGACGUUCU